rnacentral:rRNA from 1 species
AGUGAGCGCUGGCGGUAGGCCUAACACAUGCCAGUCGAACGGCAGCACAGUAAUAGCUUGCUCUUACGGGUGGCGAGUGGCGGACGGUUGAGGAAUACAUCGGUAUCUACUUUUUCUUGGGGGAUAACGUAGGGAAUCUUACGCUAAUACCGCAUACGACCUACGGGUGAAAGCAGCGGAUCUUCGGACCUUGCGCGAUUGUAUGAGCCGAUGUCGGAUUAGCUAGUUGGCGGGGUAAAGGCCCACCAAGGCGACGAUCCGUAGCUGGUCUGAGAGGAUGAUCAGCCACACUGGAACUGAGACACGGUCCAGACUCCUACGGGAGGCAGCAGUGGGGAAUAUUGGACAAUGGGCGAAAGCCUGAUCCAGCCAUGCCGCGUGGGUGAAGAAGGCCUUCGGGUUGUAAAGCACUUUUGUUGGGAAGGAAAAGCAGCAGGUUAAUACCCCGCUGUUCUGACGGUACCAAAAGAAUAAGCACCGGCUAACUUCGUG